rnacentral:rRNA from 1 species
CCCUUAGAUGUUCUGGGCCGCACACGCGCUACACUGAAGGAGGCAGCGUGUACUCCUGGAUCGAAAGAUUUGGGUAACCCGCGAAUCUCCUUCGUGCUAGGGAUUGAGGUUUGCAAUUAUCCUUCAUGAACGAGGAAUUCCCAGUAAGUGCAAGUCAUAAGCUUGCGCUGACUACGUCCCUGCCCUUCGUACACACCGCCCGUCGCUACUACCGAUUGAAUGAUUUAGUGAGGACUUCGGACUGGGACCGAUGCGGCUUUCGGGCUGCGUCGGUAUUCUGGAAAGAUGUCCAAACUGUNUNAUUUAGNGGAAGUAAAANUCGUANCA